UACAGAGGGGGCAAGCGUUGUUCGGAAUUACUGGGCGUAAAGGGCGCGUAGGCGGCCUGGCAAGUGGAAGGUGAAAUCCCUCGGCUUAACCGAGGAACUGCCCUCCAAACUGCUUGGCUUGAGUCCGGGAGAGGUGAGUGGAAUUCCCAGUGUAGCGGUGAAAUGCGUAGAUAUUGGGAGGAACACCAGUGGCGAAGGCGGCUCACUGGACCGGAACUGACGCUGAUGCGCGAAAGCGUGGGGAGCAAACGGG
rnacentral:rRNA from 1 species